AACGCUAGCUACAGGCUUAACACAUGCAAGUCGAGGGGCAGCGGGAUUGAAGCUUGCUUCAAUUGCCGGCGACCGGCGCACGGGUGAGUAACGUGUAUCCAACCUUCCGUACACUCAGGGAUAGCCUUUCGAAAGAAAGAUUAAUACCUGAUGGUAUGAUGAGAUUGCAUGAUAGCAUCAUUAAAGAUUUAUCGGUGUACGAUGGGGAUGCGUUCCAUUAGGUAGUAGGCGGGGUAACGGCCCACCUAGCCAACGAUGGAUAGGGGUUCUGAGAGGAAGGUCCCCCACAUUGGUACUGAGACACGGACCAAACUCCUACGGGAGGCAGCAGUGAGGAAUAUUGGUCAAUGGCCGAGAGGCUGAACCAGCCAAGUCGCGUGAAGGAAGAAGGAUCUAUGGUUUGUAAACUUCUUUUAUACGGGAAUAAAGUGAGUCACGUGUGAUUUUUUGUAUGUACCGUAUGAAUAAGCAUCGGCUAACUCCGUGCCAGCAGCCGCGGUAAUACGGAGGAUGCGAGCGUUAUCCGGAUUUAUUGGGUUUAAAGGGUGCGUAGGUGGUCUUUUAAGUCAGCGGUGAAAGUUUGUGGCUCAACCAUAAAAUUGCAGUUGAUACUGGGUGUCUUGAGUACAGUAGAGGCAGGCGGAAUUCGUGGUGUAGCGGUGAAAUGCUUAGAUAUCACGAAGAACUCCGAUUG
rnacentral:rRNA from 1 species